rnacentral:misc_RNA from 1 species
CUCAGUAGAUCUCUACUGCUCAGGGGGAGCGGAAAGCUUGCCAGCCUGCUGGCCUGCGAGUACGUUCUCUGUCUGAACCCUUGUCUUUUUGCGUACUCAUGUUUCCUCGGCGGGCUUGCCCGCCGGCUGGACAACCUAUAAACCUUUUUUAAUUUUCAAUCAGCGUCUGAAUAAUUAUAAUAAUUACAACUUUCAACAACGGAUCUCUUGGUUCU